UGACAGAUGGAAGCUGCUUGUGUGA
rnacentral:piRNA from 1 species